UGUGAACUUAAUUUUAGAGCAAUUCAAGUAAGGUACAGCCUGCUUGAAACAGGAUACAACCUAAAAAUGUGGGUAAUUAAAUCUUUCUGCCAUAAAGUGGGCCUAAAAGCAGCCACCUUUUGAAUAGCGUCACAGCUUAAUCACAUACAGAUUUAAUAACAAAAAUUUUACCGAACCCCACCCUACUACCAAGCAAUUCUAUAUUUUUAUAGAACUUUUUAUGUUAAAACUAGUAACAAGAAGAACCCCUUCUCUUUAAUGCAAGCAUAAAUCAGCCAGGACCAACCACUGAUAAUUAACACCUAUGAACUAAUAGUAACAACACUUCAAGAAAACCUUACUUCAUCUUAUGUUAACCUAACACAAGAGCAUUAUAAGAAAGAUUAAAAGAAAAAGAAGGAACUCGGCAAACAUUAACCCCGCCUGUUUACCAAAAACAUCGCCUCUUGAUUCUAAUAAGAGGUCCAGCCUGCCCAGUGACUUUGUUCAACGGCCGCGGUAUCCUAACCGUGCGAAGGUAGCGUAAUCACUUGUUCUUUAAAUGAGGACUAGUAUGAAUGGCACCACGAAGGUUAUACUGUCUCCUUUCUCUAAUCAGUGAAACUAAUCUUCCCGUGAAGAAGCGGGAAUAAACAUAUAAGACGAGAAGACCCUAUGGAGCUUUAAACAAGUAUACAACUGCCUUUCCUAUUUUUAAAUUUCAGAAAACAAACCAUUAUUUAGGCAUUUUGAUAUAAAGUUUUAGGUUGGGGUGACCACGGAGAAAAAUGUAACCUCCGCAAUGAACGGGGCUUCCCCCCUUAACUAAGAGCUACGACCCUAAGAAUCAAUAAAUUGACAUCAAUUGACCCAAUAAAUUUGAUCAAUGAACCAAGUUACCCUAGGGAUAACAGCGCAAUCCACUUCAAGAGCCCCUAUCGACAAGUGGGUUUACGACCUCGAUGUUGGAUCAGGGUAUCCUAGUGGUGCAGCCGCUACUAAUGGUUCGUUUGUUCAACGAUUAAAACCCUACGUGAUCUGAGUUCAGACCGGCUU
rnacentral:rRNA from 1 species